UCGGCGACCGGCGCACGGGUGCGUAACGCGUAUGCAACCUACCCAUUACAGGGGGAUAACACUGAGAAAUCGGUACUAAUACCCCAUAACAUCCAGGGAGGCAUCUUCUUGGGUUGAAAACUCCGGUGGUAAUGGAUGGGCAUGCGUUGUAUUAGUUAGUUGGUGGGGUAACGGCUCACCAAGACAACGAUACAUAGGGGGACUGAGAGGUUAACCCCCCACAUUGGUACUGAGACACGGACCAAACUCCUACGGGAGGCAGCAG
rnacentral:rRNA from 1 species